rnacentral:lncRNA from 1 species
CUAGUCUCCCUCUGCCCGAAGGAACCGAGCCGCAGACAUUCCAUGGGUUUGGGGGAAGUAGUCGCCUUGGUUCCCGAGAAUUGGGUUCCUCCUGGGUCACCUCAUCCACCCAACACCUGUUAUCAUCCUUCGGGUCUCAGUUUUCCAGAGACAAAAUUACGAAACGAACCCCUGGCCUGGUCUUCGCGGUUGGGGCUUUGGGGGUCUUUGGAGGCUGCGGUGGGGGUGAAAAGGGGGAGGAUCCCCGAGGGAUGACAGAGCUUCGGGUCUCCCCUGGGUUGUCGGCGCUGCUGUUUACUCGCCCGCCGCCUUCAGCCCACUUCCCUUUUCCUCCCCGGGAGGAGGAGAUGGUUAAAGAUUACACCGUGGCCGCGGGCACUUCAAAGGGCGGCUCGGGCAGCCAAAGAUGACUUUGUAAGUGCAACUCAAGAUUUAUUCUUUUUACGAAACCUCCCGUGACCGCAGUCUGCCUUCAUCAUCAAGCGACUAAUAUUUGUAGAACGAGGAUCACAAAGCAGCAGUGACCCGAGGGGCAAGUUAGCUCUCUGCGUGGAGCUUGCAGUCUAAAGGAGACUCCCCCAGAAGAUGAAUCUCACCGAACGUUCCUGUUUUUCCCACUCCUGUUUUCUCCCUAACUUCCAGCCAGGAUUGCUGGGAGUGGGUUCUUGGUUGGGUCACCUACGAGAAGGGCAGUGUGGGUUUUGGAUUCUCAGAGACCAGUGUUCAAAUCUCUGCUUUGUCAUUUACAACCUGUGGGACUUGGAGAAGUUUAUCUUGAGGCCCAGUUUCUUCUGCAAGAGUAAAUAUUACUACCCACUUAAACAAAUAAGGAAAAUGAGGCUCAGAGAAGUGAAAUAACUUUUCAAAGUCACUGGGCCGGUUCAAAUCUUCCUUGAUGUGGACUCUGAUUUCAGCCAGACAUAAAUUCUUGAUCAUAGGCUUGAUGCAGUGGCCUCUCUGUAUUGCUUUCUUCCCAUGAUAGAGCAGAUACAGGGCUCUAAGUACCAAAAACUCAGGAGCCCCAUCGGUGUCCUAACCAAUUAUGGUGGCAAAUAUUUUUGGUAAUUUUUUUUUCUGAAGUUCUUUAUUUUACUUGAGCUUUUCCGGUCACACUGUGACUGAAAUUUGAU